GAUGAAGAACGUAGCGAAAUGCGAUAAGUAAUGUGAAUUGCAGAAUUCAGUGAAUCAUCGAAUCUUUGAACGCACAUUGCGCCCCUUGGUAUUCCGAGGGGCAUGCCUGUUUGAGCGUCAUUAUAACCCCUCAAGCUCAGCUUGGUGUUGGGGCCUGCUGCACUGGCAGCCCUUAAAAUCAGUGGCGGCGCCAUCUGGCUCUAAGCGUAGUAAUUCUUCUCGCUAUGGAGUCCUGGUGGAUGCUUGCCAUCAACCCCCAAUUUUUCUAUGGUUGACCUCGGAUCAGGUAGGGAUACCCGCUGAACUUAAGCAUAUCAAUAAGCGGAGGA
rnacentral:misc_RNA from 1 species